rnacentral:rRNA from 1 species
AGAGUUUGAUCCUGGCUCAGGAUGAACGCCGGCGGUGUGCCUAAUACAUGCAAGUCGUACGCACUGGCCCAACUGAUUGAUGGUGCUUGCACCUGAUUGACGAUGGAUCACCAGUGAGUGGCGGACGGGUGAGUAACACGUAGGUAACCUGCCUCGGAGCGGGGGAUAACAUUUGGAAACAGAUGCUAAUACCGCAUAACAACAAAAGCCACAUGGCUUUUGUUUGAAAGAUGGCUUUGGCUAUCACUCUGGGAUGGACCUGCGGUGCAUUAGCUAGUUGGUAAGGUAACGGCUUACCAAGGCAAUGAUGCAUAGCCGAGUUGAGAGACUGAUCGGCCACAAUGGAACUGAGACACGGUCCAUACUCCUACGGGAGGCAGCAGUAGGGAAUCUUCCACAAUGGGCGCAAGCCUGAUGGAGCAACACCGCGUGAGUGAAGAAGGGUUUCGGCUCGUAAAGCUCUGUUGUUGGAGAAGAACGUGCGUGAGAGUAACUGUUCACGCAGUGACGGUAUCCAACCAGAAAGUCACGGCUAACUACGUGCCAGCAGCCGCGGUAAUACGUAGGUGGCAAGCGUUAUCCGGAUUUAUUGGGCGUAAAGCGAGCGCAGGCGGUUGCUUAGGUCUGAUGUGAAAGCCUUCGGCUUAACCGAAGAAGUGCAUCGGAAACCGGGCGACUUGAGUGCAGAAGAGGACAGUGGAACUCCAUGUGUAGCGGUGGAAUGCGUAGAUAUAUGGAAGAACACCAGUGGCGAAGGCGGCUGUCUGGUCUGCAACUGACGCUGAGGCUCGAAAGCAUGGGUAGCGAACAGGAUUAGAUACCCUGGUAGUCCAUGCCGUAAACGAUGAGUGCUAGGUGUUGGAGGGUUUCCGCCCUUCAGUGCCGGAGCUAACGCAUUAAGCACUCCGCCUGGGGAGUACGACCGCAAGGUUGAAACUCAAAGGAAUUGACGGGGGCCCGCACAAGCGGUGGAGCAUGUGGUUUAAUUCGAAGCUACGCGAAGAACCUUACCAGGUCUUGACAUCUUGCGCUAACCUUAGAGAUAAGGCGUUCCCUUCGGGGACGCAAUGACAGGUGGUGCAUGGUCGUCGUCAGCUCGUGUCGUGAGAUGUUGGGUUAAGUCCCGCAACGAGCGCAACCCUUGUUACUAGUUGCCAGCAUUAAGUUGGGCACUCUAGUGAGACUGCCGGUGACAAACCGGAGGAAGGUGGGGACGACGUCAGAUCAUCAUGCCCCUUAUGACCUGGGCUACACACGUGCUACAAUGGACGGUACAACGAGUCGCAAGCUCGCGAGAGUAAGCUAAUCUCUUAAAGCCGUUCUCAGUUCGGACUGUAGGCUGCAACUCGCCUACACGAAGUCGGAAUCGCUAGUAAUCGCGGAUCAGCAUGCCGCGGUGAAUACGUUCCCGGGCCUUGUACACACCGCCCGUCA